rnacentral:lncRNA from 1 species
UUUAGUCGAGUCUCUAUAAUAAAUUUCAGUUGGAAUUCAAGUUGAAAUUGUAUCUCACUCCGUUUUUCUAUCUGCAAAAAAGAGUUACCAUCAAUAAAAAUUUAAAACGUGCAAGAAAACUACGAAUCCAAAGCUAAUCACAUUCACCUCACCCUUACUAAUCCAAAAUCACAUGCUGUAUAGAAAAUAAACUACGAAUGCAAUCAAAGAAUGCCGCUUCCAAACACAGAUUUUAUAUCUUGACAAAAUUAAUUUUAUAACAAAAAAAUUGUUCCGAGUACGAAACUAUCUCAUCUAAGAAAACUAAUCUCUGUCUCACAAUUGUGUCCGCCAAUUGUCACAACAUGCCUCCCAUAUUUUUCGGGCAAUUUUUUAACUAUUCUAACAUUGAACUUAAUUAAUGUGACAAAAAAAUAUUUUUUGUCGUAAAAAAUUUAGGCGACGGUUUAAGUUUUCGUCACAAUUUCUCAUCAAUAAUGGGAAAAUAAUUAUUUUUGUCACAAAGAUUGUCACAAAAGAAGUUUUUUUUGUAGUGAGAAGUCAGAAUGCCGCCGUUUCUCUAGUUUAUAUGGCAUCGAAAAAACCUUCAUUUAAGAACAUGAGCUUAAUUACUGCACAAAUAUUUUUCACUUCGAGCAAGACUACGGCAUAAAGAAAUUUGACACUAGCACUUUAUGCAAUAAAAAGAUUCUGCAUCUAACCCAUGAAAUAACUUCCGUGUAAGACUUCUCUUUACAAAAAGAACAAGAAUUGUAAAUAAAGGCUUGUUUUACUGGGACAUAGAAACAAAAGCAGAAUCUUGUUUUAAACUAAGGCAAUAAUAUAAAUGAAUGGCGAAAUGCCGAAAUCAAGUCUUUUAGCAAAUCUCUAUAUCGGAAAACCCACACUUUUCCAUAUCCCAUGAACGACAAAUCGGUAGAACGAUCUCCACUUUUGUUCAACAUACAUACCAUGGUGUGUGUGUGUGGUGUGUGGUGUGUGUUUGUGUGUGUGUGUGUGUGUGUGUGUGUGUGUGUGUGUGUGUGUGUGUGUGUGUGUGUGUGUGUGUGUGUGUGUGUGUGUGUGUGUGUGUGUGUGUGUCUAUAUAUACACAUUGUACUCACUUCCCUUAAUUAGAGCUAUCAUCUAUUAAGUCGCUACUCUCGCUAAGUAGCCAUAAAUCUGGCGCAACGGACAACGAGAAGAUUCCAAACUUCGCAUUUAUUACAACUUCCGUAUCUAUCCACGUGCUUCAAACGCACAUUUCAUCCCAUCGCUCAUUAGAUCAAAUUCAAAUAGAAUUUAAUCAUAAAAGCUAUCACUUUCCCCAAACAAAACAGACUUCAUCCAAACCCUUGUCACAACACACAACCUAUGUUAAACCUAAAAAAAUGCCAUUGACAAACAUAAAUAAAAAAAAAAAUGAAAAAAAUAAACAAGAGAACUCCCACCAUUGACAUACGAAUUGAAGACUGAAAUGUAGAAGAAAAGAAAAAAAAAUCUUAGUGUGUAAAAUUAAUCAGAUAAGAUAGUACCGAAAAUCAAUUACGCCCAAAAUAAAAUUAAAACGAAAGAAAGCUAAUUCAAUUACAUUCAACAAUUACUUAAUUUUCGAAAGAAAAAAAAAACUUUCAAAAAAAGCCGAAGAAAGGGAAAUUAAACCUGAACUGGUUACUGAAGAGAUUCCGACCAUCUACAGUUUCAAAUGCAGUGUAAGGAAUUUUCGUACGGAGUAACUCUAUCGGUACCAUGAAAGCAUAAAGACGAAUUGGAUUAAUCGUAUUUGAAGUGAUGGAGAGCUUACCGGAAUGGGAUGUAAAUAUUUAUCGAGGAAUCUCCGGCGAAUCGUUGGAAUCAGUUGGGCAGUGGCGAUCGGAAAUGGACUGGCUGGAUUCGAAUUAGAAUUUUAGGGAUUUGACGAAAGGGGGGAAAGGAAGAACAGAAGAGGGGAUAUAAAUCUGGUAAUGGAGUUUGGAGCUUGAAAGAAU